rnacentral:rRNA from 1 species
UAACCUGCCAAAGAGAUCGGGAUAACACCUGGAAACAGAUGCUAAUACCGGAUAACAACAGAUGAUGCCUAUCAACUGUUUAAAAGAUGGUUCUGCUAUCACUCUUGGAUGGACCUGCGGUGCAUUAGCUAGUUGGUAGGGUAACGGCCUACCAAGGCGAUGAUGCAUAGCCGAGUUGAGAGACUGAUCGGCCACAUUGGGACUGAGACACGGCCCAAACUCCUACGGGAGGCAGCAGCC